rnacentral:rRNA from 1 species
CCCUUAGAUGUUCUGGGCUGCACGCGCGCUACACUGAUGCGUUCAACGAGUUUAUGACCUUGCCCGAUAGGGUUGGGUAAUCUUUUUAAAUCGCAUCGUGAUGGGGAUAGAUUAUUGCAAUUAUUAAUCUUGAACGAGGAAUUCCUAGUAAACGCAAGUCAUCAGCUUGCAUUGAUUACGUCCCUGCCCUUUGUACACACCGCCCGUCGCAGCUACUGAUUGAAUAUAUCGGUGAAAUAUUGGGACCGUGAUGAACGAAGCUUCAUUGCUUCUAUCAUUAUGGGAACUUUCUUAAACCUAUCUAUUUAGAAGAAGCUGAAGUCGUAACA